ACGCUCAGGUCUCUCCUCAACCUUGUGCGAAUUAACCUUUCGCCUUUUACUAAAGGUUACCGUUGGGAGGGGCCAUCCAAUGAGCAUUCAUGCCAAUUUUUCAUUGAGCAUUCAUGCCAG
rnacentral:snRNA from 1 species